GUAAUGAAAGGUGAUGAAAGAAGAUAUACUUAUUUUUCAGCAGUAUAUAAUAGUUACUCCAGAAUAGAUUUUAUAUUCACAUCCCAAUAAUUAAUUCCUAAAAUAGUUAAUCCUGAGAUCAAUUCCAUAAAAAUAACAUCAUGCUUUGAUGUCAAUGGAGACUGAGAUUAAAAAAGAUUAUAAAGACUCUAAAAGAUGGAGACUGGAUAUUAACAUUUUCCAGUGCCCACAGGUAAUAGAAAAGUUAAAGAAAGAAUGGUUAGAAUUAUGGACAAUAAAUGAAGCAGGAGGUACGAAAUUAGGCCUGUUGUGGGACACGAUAAAAGUAAUUUCAAGAGGAAUAGCAAUAAGGGAAUCCUGUAAACUAAAAAGUACAGUGGGGUCUCUACUUACGAACGGCCCGAGUUGCGUACUUUUCGACUUACGAACCACUCUGAGAGGAAAAUAUUUCCUCAACCUACGAACUUUAUUUCGAGUUACACACCCCUGCCAAGCUUUGCCUCUCUGCUCUGGCCGCCGCUUCUCCGUGCUCAGGCAGGCCCUCCCUGCACAGCCACACCCCACCCCUGCCGUCUGCUCUCUCCCCCUCACCUGUUCCUGCGGCGGCAUGGGGCAGAGGCCCUCCCCAGAGGGCUCCUCUCCCUUCGCUCCCACGUGCUUUGCCUCUCUGCCGGGCUUUUCCCCCAGGCUGGCUCCCCUCCCUCCGCUCCCACGUGCUUUGCCUCUCUGCCGGGCUUUUCCCCCAGGCUGGCUCCCCUCCCUCCGCUCCCACGUGCUUUGCCUCUCUGCCGGGCUUUUCCCCCAGGCUGGCUCCCCUCCCUCCGCUCCCACGUGCUUUGCCUCUCUGCCGGGCUUUUCCCCCAGGCUGGCUCCCCUCCCUCCGCUCCCACGUGCUUUGCCUCUCUGCCGGGCUUUUCCCCCAGGCUGGCUCCCCUCCCUCCGCUCCCACGUGCUUUGCCUCUCUGCCGGGCUUUUCCCCCAGGCUGGCUCCCCUCCCUCCGCUCCCACGUGCUUUGCCUCUCUGCCGGGCUUUUCC
rnacentral:lncRNA from 1 species